rnacentral:rRNA from 1 species
AGUGAACGCUGGCGGUAGGCCUAACACAUGCAAGUCGAACGGCAGCACAGUAAGAGCUUGCUCUUACGGGUGGCGAGUGGCGGACGGGUGAGGAAUACAUCGGAAUCUACUUUUUCGUGGGGGAUAACGUAGGGAAACUUACGCUAAUACCGCAUACGACCUACGGGUGAAAGCAGGGGAUCUUCGGACCUUGCGCGAUUGAAUGAGCCGAUGUCGGAUUUGCUAGUUGGCGGGGUAAAGGCCCACCAAGGCGACGAUCCGUAGCUGGUCUGAGAGGAUGAUCAGCCACACUGGAACUGGGACACGGUCCAGACUCCUACGGGAGGCAGCAGUGGGGAAUAUUGGACAAUGGGCGCAAGCCUGAUCCAGCCAGACCGCGUGGGUGAAGAAGGCCUUCGGGUUGUAAAGCCCUUUUGUUGGGAAAGAAAAGCAGCAGGUUAAUACCCCGCUGUUCUGACGGUACCCAAAGAAUAAGCACCGGCUAACUUCGUG